UACGAAGGGGGCUAGCGUUGCUUGGAAUCACUGGGCGUAAAGCGCACGUAGGCGGAUUGUUAAGUCAGGGGUGAAAUCCUGGAGCUCAACUCCAGAACUGCCUUUGAUACUGGCGAUCUUGAGUCCGGGAGAGGUGAGUGGAACUGCGAGUGUAGAGGUGAAAUUCGUAGAUAUUCGCAAGAACACCAGUGGCGAAGGCGGCUCACUGGCCCGGUACUGACGCUGAGGUGCGAAAGCGUGGGGAGCAAACAGG
rnacentral:rRNA from 1 species